CACAGGGCUUUUUUGUGCAUGCUAUUUUGUUAUGUGUAGCCUAUAGUUGGAAGGGUUUCCUAUCUUUCUCUGCUAUUGGUUUUAUCAUAUGUUUUAUCUAUUCUUUAUUCUCCUUCCUCUCUUAGAAGGGAAUAAAGCUAAAGAGUUCCAAAGUAGUUUGUGAAACUGUAUUUUGAAAGACUUAAAAAUUAGCAAAGAAAUAUAGCCCAGAAACUGACCAAGGCUACUACUAUGACUUAGUGCUUGGAAUUUACCAGUCACCAACAAUUACUCCCUUCCAAGGCCAUAAGAUAACUGGGUACCAAGAAUUCCCAGAUGGCCACCCUCCCCAAGGGGCUCAUGAACGAAACAGAUUGCCCCACCGGCCAAUGUGUCAAUAAUUAACAAUUAAGGGUCCCUGUGAAACGAAGAGAUAGAUAGCUACCAUUAGUUAGCACAUCCUGAGGUCUGCAGGUUUUACAACUGGUGGGGUCAGGAGGCUAUCUGAUUCUCAGGCCUCCCCUCAAGACAAAGGGCUUCCUAGGAACUCAUGACUCAUGGGUUCAAUGGACAGAGAGUCGAAGCCCCUCCCUAAGCUUAUGGUUUUUGCUUUUAAAAACGCCUGUGCCUGGGGGACGGGGCUGCUCUCUAGCCUGCAUGCUGAAAGAGCCCGUUUGUACAAACGUCCACCUUUCAUUAAAGCCUCUUGCUGUUUGCAUCAAGUUUCUGCCUUCUCAUGGUGAUUGGGAUGGCCGCAGUCCUGGGAAAAGAUUCUGGAGGCCUGAACUUCCAGGGGGGUCUUACAAUUUUACUUGCACCUGACAUGAAGGACCACUUCUAAAGAAUGCAUUUAUUUCAUAGCACUCCAUUUUUUGUACUGUUCAGCCAAGAAUUAUUCUACAUAAAGUAUAUAAAUAAAAACAGAGGUACAUCUUUUUGUGACAAGGUUAUUAAAUUUAUAAGACUCAGAUUCUGUAGCAUCCAAGUAAGAUUAAGAAUAAAGCAGCAAGCCAGGCGGUGGUGAUCCCAUGCCUUAAUCUCAGCACUCAGGAGGCAGAGGCAGGUGGGUCUCUGAGUUUGAGGCCAGCCUGGUCUUCAAAGAAAGUUCCAGGAUGGUCUCCAAACCUACAGAGAAACCCUGUCUCGAAAAACCAAAGAAAAGAAAAAAUAAUAAUAAUAAAGCAUACCCUAAGGCUAUGUGGCUCUUAGGGCAAGUUUUUAGUUACUCAUUCAGCAACACUAGUGGUCACUAGCAUAAAUUUCCUAGCCUCUCAUAGGAGAGGUAUCUAUAUCCCUCACGGACAAGACUGCAAUCACUUCUUUACAGACUUCACUUGUUCAGAGGACCAAGAGUGUGAAAGUCAAAGCCAGGCUCUUUCAGUUCCCCAGUCAGGCCUCACAAGCAAGGAGAUUUCUGUUCCCCUUGUAUGGAGAUCAUUGCUGACUUCCAGGUUAUUGCUAAUUCACCUUUAUUCCAAAGCCUUUGUUUGUUUUUCCACUGUGGAUUCUUUGUGGACGUUACAAGGUGGACAUUAUUACCCUUCCUUCCCCUCCUCUGACUUCCUCUUAGCUAGAAUGCUAAGUACCUACUGAGCAAACAAUGGUUUGUCUGUCUCACCAAGGUAAGCACAAAUACUUUGUGAAGAUGUGAAAGAGCCACCCUCUUGCACAUGGGACUAUCCUGUGCUGCCAUUUAUACUCUGGAAAACAGAUUUCAAUAAUACUUUAAAAUUUUUUAAGAAAAAAAAAACAAGAUUAGGUGAGUAUUAUCAAGCAUCCGAUUCAUCUCUUUACAUGCAGACCCCCACCUUGGUGCUUUAAUGAAACAUCCCCACCAGAGGAAGUAAUCUCUUUUCCCUUUGUGAUGUACUGUGGAACCACAGAGAAGGGUAUCACCCAUGGUUAAUCCUCUGUGGAUGUUUAAUCAUCUACAGAGGAACAGCUGGUAUCCAGUCUAACAGAUGUGGAUCAGAUAUUAUAGUUUAGCCUUAGUCCAAAUUCCAAGACAGUCUGGUUUUCCUUAUUCAGGAAACUUUUCUUAGGUGAAGAGGCGUAAGUCAAAGAAAAUGGGAGACCAAAACCUUGGCUACAUAGUGAGUUCAAAGCCAGGCUAGGUGAUUUCAGCACCAUAUAAAUGAAAAAAAGAAAAGGACAGGACUGCUCCUAGGUGUAGUGGAGAACGUUUAUUGCUGAUAUGUGGGAGGGCAUAGCCAGGGGCAGCACAUCUGGGACAGUUCAGAGUAGACAUGCUCAGACUGAGCUGUUCCAUGACCAGAGGGGAGGACAAGGGAGAGGGAAGAGCAGGGGAACCAGGUACAGCAGCCAGGAGGCCCAAAGGUACAAAGAGAGCAUGAGCAAAAUGGUUGGAUUACAUAGGGAAGGGCAUCUGGGGCAAGGGAAGCCAGAUGGAGAGUUCAGAGUAGGGGGCAGGAUAUGCCAGCCAGGAAGACCCUGUAACAGGUAGGGGCUGAGGGAUGUUAGGGAGACCCUGAUGGACAGGUUCAAUUUGAUGUGUUAAAUAGGCACCGCAGCCAUUUGUUCCAGGUUUGAAACCUAACACUUCUCUUGAAGUUCAAAUGGAAGGUGCAGCUCUGACUGCAGAUCAUAAGCAUUUGCUUUGAAAUCUUGGCUCUGUUGAAGAAAAUGUGGAAACUCUAAGAGACGCUCACCGAGAUGUGUUCCCAAAAGAAGCGAAAGAAGCACAUUAUCAGCUUAGGAGUGAGGAAAGGACUCUGUCUCAGAGUUUUUAUUUCUGUGAUGAAACAUUGUGAUCAAAAGCAGCUUGAGGGGAGGGCAAGGGUUUAUUUCAGUUUACAACUUUCAGGUCACACUCUAUUGGUGGGGGAAGUCAGGGCAGGAAUUUAAGGUAGCAAGCUGGAGGCAGAGCUGAAGCAGACAGAAGGCAUAGAGGAAAGCUGAUUUCCAUAGCUUACUCAACCUGUUUUUAUCUACAACUCAGGGUCACCAGUCCAGGGGAGUGUGGUGAUAUAUUAUUUAUGAUUUACUAAAGCUUGCCUUAGGGUUCAGAAAGCAAAGCUGCUGAGGCCAUAGAGGUCAGGCAAUGAUGAUACACACCUUAAAUCCCAGCAGCCAUACUAGCUAGCCAUAGAGCCAGGCAGUGGUGGUGCAUACCUUUAAUACCAGGACUCAAGAGACAAACGGAUCUCUGUUAGUUCAAGGCCACACUGAGCUACAUGAAAUUGAUCCAGUCUUAAGGAGAAACAGCUCAACACAAAGGUGGUCUCAGCACUUGGGUUCAAAUGCCUUUAAUCCCAGGAUUUGAGAGGUAUAAAAAGAAGAUUUAGUCUCCAGCCACCUUGAGGAGAGGUAGCAAUGUAGGAUUGCAGUCUGAGAAUUCAUGAAGGCAGGAUUGCCAUUUCAGCCUGAGGUAGAGGUAAGAUCUACUGUCUUGGCUGCUUUGCUUUAUCUUCAGUUUGGAGCUUGAACCCCAAUAUCAGUCUCUGGGUUUGUAUUGUUCAUGUUCCAGCAGUGAUACUGCCCUCCUACAUCAAUCAUUAAUCAGGAUCAUAUGCCACAGUUUACAAUCUGAACAUGAUAGUGGGAAAUAUAAUAGUGAUAAGCAGGUCUGAAGUUCAGCUGAAAUUUGGGAGUAAAGUCAUAAACUCCAGGAACACUGAUAAUACAAAUAAGGGAGCUGACAAAAGGGAUCACCGGCUGAGUCCUGGAAACGGAGUCACCCCAGGAUUCAGUGGAGAAUGGUGAAGGAUAAGGGACUCUUGUCAGAGCAGGGUCAAAAGAAUGACACAAGGUGAACAAUGACUUGAACUGUGAGAGGCUCCAGGAAAAAAAGGCAGAGAGAGGGACUUUUACCUCAAAUACAUAUUGUUCCCUGGAUUGUUUUUGGACAUGAUUUUGUGCCUCCUGUUGCAAAUAUUUGCAUCAAUUUAUAAAAUCUGUUUAUUCUUAUUGGAUGUCGAAACAUAGCUAUAGAACCCAAUCUGGUGAAAGGAAACGCUGAGUGCUGUCCUCACUGUACCCCUAAUCUGGACAUGGCCUUUUGCCUUGCUUUUGUGUUUUACCAGAUAUAAUGUAUAGUACAUGCCAGGUAAUUUUUUUUUAAUUGACUUGUCCUGAGAAAGUUCUGUUAAUAUUUAGUAUGUGCUUACUGGUGUUUAUUUAUGUUUUUCUGAACUCAAACAAUCUUCCUUGGAUCAUUGCUUUCCUUGUUACAUUCAUAUAUAAAAGUACACUGAAACUCCAGUAAGGUUGUCUAUAGCAUUAGACUGUAGUCCACCCCAUUUUUUCAGGUCCUCCAAUCCCAGACUCUCAGACAGAUCUGCAUAGGUUGGCAAAAGCUGACAAGUGGUGCCCGAAUCUGGGACCUGAAUGAAAAGCUAAGAGAGGACAUGAGGACCCCUGCAGAAGGAGGUAGUCAGUUGUCUUGUGGUUGAUGGAGAGGCAGAAAUACUUACUGUUAAGCAACUGCCAUAUGAGAAUGCUAAUGCUUCAUGCCAGACAGCAUUCAUCCCUUUUGGAAGAAAGGAGAUACCGAUGAUUACAACUACCUAUGUGCUGAAUUGGGCUUUUGCAUACUCAAGGCUAACUCUGGAUACACCCCUCCAAGGACAGACAAUGCCUCAAUUAUUGGCAGUCAUUCAACAAGGAAAAGGAAUGAAUAAUGACAAAUAGCCCAACUUUAUGUCAAAAGUUUGUUGCUGCUGCUGCUUUAAAAGAAGCUAAAGUACAAUUUACUCUGUCACUAUAU
rnacentral:lncRNA from 1 species